UCGACGACGUGGGAAUCCAGCAACAGCCAUUAUGCUAACUGCUGGUUCCCAGCUUCUGCUCUAUCAAUGGAGACACAUUGUCCAUUUUUUAUGUUUUGUGUUACUUUAGGUACAAUGCUUAAAAAUCAUUCACUUCAGGAAAAUACUUUUCUCAUGUCUUUUUUGGCCUUAAAAUAGCGUUGUUUUUCCUUCCUCUUAGGGAUAAGUUCCUACCAGGACUGAAAUGAAAAACCAAGGGAGUCACUAAUGCCUGUUAAAGGUGCACCCACCCUAUAGCAAAAAUCUCUCAGAACAAAACAAAGCUAAGACUAAAGAAAGGAGCAAAGUCUGCCCAGCCCAACAGGGAGGCAGCCUGGGCGUGUCUGGUGCCGCUGGGUCGGAGGCUCCCAUGGAACAGAUCUCUUUCCUGAGUUGUUUCUGAGCCCAAGACCCUAUAAGGCAGACUCCCUGCUCAGAGGAGCGGCCAGCACAUGGCAUUCUUCCCAGUGAGUCAGCGUGGAGCUCAUCAGCCAGAACUCUCCUUCACUAGCAGAGCCCAGCCAGACGGCCACCGUGGACAAGGACAGUGUCUGCACAUGGGAAGCACCACGCAUCCCGUGUCCCCAUGUGUGUCUACACAGGAAAAGCCCCACACACCACAUGUCCCCGUGAUGUGUCUGCACAAGGGAAGCCCCACGCACCCCGUGUCCCCGUGUGUGUCUGUACACGGGAAGCCCCGCAUCCUCAUGGUGUGUCUGCACAUGAAAAGGCCCAUGUCCCCGUGGUGCACACGCAUUAUGGGGGAUGAGGAAGAUACGCGGUGGCUUUCAGGGUGGGGACCCAGGAGAAACCUCGGGGAAGUGUGUGUGACCCGCAGGAGGCAUCUGCAUUGCCUCACCCCGAGCGCCAGGUCACAGUGCGAGGUAUGGGUGUGUCACGCCCCAAGGGCACACCAGCCAUAGGCCUUACACGUGGACCUUGGUCAGCAUUCAAUCUGCAUGUCACUGCUCAGGACUAGGUGGGCCCAGGGACACCCUGAAGACCCAAGGAGCUGCUAGCCCUGGGGCUGGGGGCCAGGGAUGAGCUGCAGGGAUCGUAGGGAAGCCUCUGGAGAAAACCUCAAGAGUGUUAGGCUAGCGCUAGGUCAGGGCACACGUGACACCUACCCCUGCAGAGGAUUAGGGCUAAGUCAGGGCACGCGUGACAUCUACCCCUGCAGGGCACUAGGGUUGGGGCUAGGUCUGGGCACGCGUGACACCUACCCCUGCAGGGCACUAGGAGCCCACGGCACAGCGGGAAGUGCAGACCGCUGCCCCUCACCGUGGGGUGAGGUGCAGAGGAGCCAGCGCAGGUGUGGAGGAUGCAGCGGGCGGGUGAGGGCCAGGCACCCUGACGGUGGCUGCUCUGCCUGAGGAAAUAGGCCGCAGAGAGCAGGGCCCCUGGUCCACACCCUAGAGGCAGUACGGGUCGUUGCAAGCACCCAGACCUCAGUUCUCAAGGGACAGGAGGGCUUGGAGUGUUGCGUGAGCAGAGACGUGAUCCGAUAAAAGUGUUCAGACUAAGCUGGCAGCUCUGAGGGGCAUAGCCCGGCCCAGACCACAGGUGUGUGUGAGCACUAAGGGGGAAGGUAGAGAGACAGGGCUUUGAGGGGAGCCCUUCAUAGGGUCAGAAAACCUCAUGGGAGGGGAAAGAGACUUACUGUGGAGUCUUGGGCAAGAAAUGAUGUUUCUAGAAAAAAAAAAAA